rnacentral:rRNA from 1 species
UAAGAGGUCCCGCCUGCCCUGUGACCUGCGGGUUUAACGGCCGCGGUACUCUGACCGUGCGAAGGUAGCGCAAUUACUUGUCUUUUAAAUGGAGACCCGUAUGAAUGGCACGACGAGGGCUUAACUGUCUCCUUUCUUCAGUCGAUGAAAUUGAUCUCCCCGUGCAGAAGCGGGGAUAACCACAUAAGACGAGAAGACCCUAUGGAGCUUUAGACAAAAGAGCAGCUCCGUCUAUUAACCACUCAUGUUAAAGAACAAAUAUAGCUUAACCCUGCCCUAAUGUCUUUGGUUGGGGCGACCGCGGGGAAACAAAAAACCCCCAUGUGGAACGGGAGUACCCCUCCUACAACCAAGAGCGACAGCUCUAAGUAGCAGAAAUUCUGGCCGAAAAGAUCCGGCAGUGCCGAUCAACGAAACGAGUUACCCUAGGGAUAACAGCGCAAUCCCCUUCUAGAGCCCAUAUCGACAAGGGGGUUUACGACCUCGAUGUUGGAUCAGGACAUCCUAAUGGUGCAGCCGCUUUUAAGGGUUCGUUUGUUCAACGAUUAA